rnacentral:miRNA from 3 species
CUUACGUGCCACGUGAGGACUCU